GCCCACGUAGCUCAAUCGGCAGAGCGUGUCCAUGGUAAGGACAAGGUUACCGGUUCGAUUCCGGUCGUGGGCUCCA
rnacentral:tRNA from 1 species